rnacentral:rRNA from 1 species
CACGCCGUAAACGAUGGGCACUAGGUGUGGGAGGUGUCGACUCCUUCCGUGCCGUAGCUAACGCAUUAAGUGCCCCGCCUGGGGAGUACGGCCGCAAGGCUAAAACUCAAAGGAAUUGAC